rnacentral:rRNA from 1 species
AGAGUUUGAUCCUGGCUCAGGAUAAACGCUGGCGGCGUGCCUAACACAUGCAAGUCGAACGCCCUUAGCAAUAAGGGAGUGGCGGACGGGUGAGGAACACGUGGGUUAUCUACCUCCGGGUGAGGAAUACCGGCGAGAAAUCGCCGACAAUACCGCAUAGGUUUGCGCAAGCAAGCAAAGCUCGCAAGAGCGCCGGGAGA